GGAAACAAACACUGGGAAUUUAGAGGGACAAAUUACUAACUGCUCCAUCUACCUCAUUUCCUUAGACCACUUGAAUUUUUGAAACAUAUUGCAAUUAAAUGAAUUUGUGGUUUUUCUGGAUUUGGAACAAUGGCAAGAUUUGAAGAUGCUCAGACAGAAAGCUUCCUGCCUUGGGAAACAUAGAGUCAACACUAAAAUUUGUCCCAUCAAGUAGAAUCCUUAGUUCAGUCCAGGAUGGGCUCAGGGAUCUGAAUUUUGCUGUGCCUGGUGGUACAUGCUUGUAAUCUGAGGAAGCUGAGGCAAGUGGAUUGCAAAUUCCAGGCCUAUCUCAGCAACAUGGUAAGAACUUGUUUCAAAAUAAAAAAUAAAAAUGGCUAGGG
rnacentral:lncRNA from 1 species